rnacentral:lncRNA from 1 species
GGGCUUUCACAAAACUAGCUUGAAAGGUAAAGCUUCUGCAUACACAGAAUAAAGUUGUAGUAUAUUCCAUAUACUUUUGUUUACACAUUUGGCUCUACACUACAAUAGUCCAACACAAGCUCACAGCUUGAAAAUAUCUUCUCUCUCCUCUGUGCAAUAUCAAAAUCCGUCUGGGGGAUGAUGACAUUUAUUACGGACAAAUUACUGAGGUAAGAUCUCAUGCAAUCACCAUUAUUACGUAUGACUGCUAUACUUGUAUUUGCAAUUUUCCCAGCGGCAUCCAGUUCCCAGAAAUGGAUCCAAAUGCGUUGAGAUUUAAAAUGUCGGAACCAAACCACCUUGUUUUUUGUAUGUAGGUUUCUGUUUUGCUUAUUGGAGUUUGCAUUGCAUGCUUAAUGGUACCCAUUCUCAUAACUUGAAAGACGAGAGUCUGACAGAACUGUGAACAGUUGUGUCGACGAAUAGCUGCAAAAGCCAAAAAGGAGGUGCUAGGAUCAUGAAAAUAACUUCAGGUGGAAAAAACAGAGAACUUUAGCCCAUUUUCACCACAUAUUCAAGUUGAUGUACCAAGUCCUCUUGUUUAUUAAGGGCAGCAUUUAAAUGAGAAUAAAAUAGAGCUUACAUACCCUAACAAAUGAUUGGUCUCUACUAGGAAAGGAAUCAAUAAAACUAUCAUUAAGAAGUAAUGAAACCUGCGGAAAUAGAAAGACAUAGUUAAUCGCAACUAGCUGGUUUCCAGGGUCCUUUUAUGUUAGAAGGUACAUAGAGAGAGACUGUAAGUUUGAAGUAGUUUUGCUAACCCUGUCGUUGUUUGAUUUUACACUAGUGAUAGUAUGAGACCUCAAUUCUGAACAAAGUGACUCCAAGUAGCGCCUCAUGACGGUCAAAAAUUGUGCAGCAGCAUCAGCCUGCACUUCAAUUGUCGUGAUUGCUUAAAAAUUAAAAAAGAG